rnacentral:lncRNA from 1 species
CAAUUUGAAAUGAAGAAAAUAUUUUGCAAAUAAACUUUUCAUUCAAAUUCUUCAUUACAUUUCAUUUAAGUAUCAAUUUACAUAGUUCAUACACAAGAUUACAAAGAAAAAUGUAGGUUUUGGCAAGGUUGACAUUUUAGUCAAUUGUUGACUUUUUGGUCAAGAGUUGACCAAAGUCAACCACUAAUUUCUAAUGUGCCUAUCUCCAUUUCGGAUUCUUCUUCAUCCACCAUCUCCAUAUCUUUUUCAAUAUUCAAAGCCAUGCCAUCAUAAGUACCUACAAAAACCAUAAGUGAACCAAAUUCACACAUACAUUAGCAUAUACAGUAACAUUCAACACCAUAUCCAAACAGCCAUGAUAAUAUGUUCACAACACAAUGCAUUUAAUGCUCAUCACAACAUUCAUGUAUGUUUUAGCAACUACCAUGACAAUUCAAUACUAAGUCCACCAACCCUUUUUUUAAGAAGCAUAUAAUGAUUCAUUUUAACUUUUUACUCAUUUUCGAAUUCUAAAUGCACAAUAGAAGUUGACAGAGUUGAUUCUAAUGUCAAGUAUCCAAUAACAAGUUAACUAUUAACCUAACAAGUCUAAUUACCUUUUUUAGUAGUUUUAUCCAAAUUCAAAUUAUCCUAACAAUUUCAGAGCAUUGUAUAAUUAACUGGUUCCUAACAGUACCACAUAAUUAAUCAACUUUUCUUUUCAUAAACUAACCUUAAGCUAAUUACAUAACCAAUUUGAACAAAAAAACCCACAACAAUUAUGAAUGCCAUGUAACUUUCUCCGUUCAAUGUCCAUGAUCCUAACUGCCUUCAUUUGAUAACCAUUUCAACAAGUAAUAACUUGCUUGCUAACAUCAAUCCCAUGAGCAUUUCACCAAAUCUUUUUACUGCAAUAACCUGAAUUUUAAACUUCAAACAAUGCCAAAAGGAUGACAUCCCCAUAUUUCACAACUAUGCAUAACAGGAUUUCAAAUGUUGCAAUUCAUAGACUAACUGUUAACAAAAACUCAAAUAGAUAUUAAUCAACUUCACAUUCCUAAUGCACUAACCAUAACUUCACUUACAUAGUCAUAACAGAAAAACUUCAACUAACUUAACAGAAUAACUAACAUCUCAACCCUAACUAACAGAAUUUUCCAGCUAGAUAACUAACUAAUUUGGCACGUAAUGAGAGGAUUAACAGUGUAAGUUAAUCCCUAACUAACUUGAACUGUGAACUUUUAACAAUGUGAAAUUUUUCUGUCAAAUUCAAUGGCUAUAAAUCCAGAGUGAGGUUCAUUCCUCAAGAGGCCCCUAUUUUUUAAUCACCACUCACAGAAUCACGGGAUUUUCAUCCCUCACCUUCACUCAAUUCCUCUCUCACCAAAGCUCUUUCUCCAUUGUUGCUCAAAGCUUCACAUUGAACCUCUGAAACAACAAGAGUUGAGCUACAACCUCCACUCACGUCUCAACUCUCAUCAACAAGAAUAACACAGGGGCGUGAGAAUUCACCUACAGAGUACACACAUAAGAAGGAGUGGAAGAAGCUAAAACCAUGGAGCUUGGAGUUCGAGUUUUUACGUCAUUCGUAAUUCUCUGGUUCUUUUCUUGAGCUUCGCCUUCUUUGCCGGUUGCAGCAAACGCCCAAGUAUUUCAACAUUUCGUAGGUUGGUAUAUCUUGUCUUGCCAUCUCUUUUUUUACCAAUUGGUAUCCAUUUCUUAGAAGAACUAUAACCCUAAAGAGUUGGAUUAUAAUCGAGCUUUGAUGAAGCUUAAUUUCAAAUAUGAGUUUUAGGGUUCACGAUGUGUUUGGCUCGAUUCGGGGAAAUCAUGGAGGAUUAGGAUGAAUGAAUAGGAUAGGGUGAGAGGGGAGACCAAUAUGAGUAUUCCGAUGUAGGUUUAGUGGAAUUUGGCCUUCCGCCGCUGCCGAAGGCGAUUUCCGGUGAGGCAGAUGGUACACUCACCGGUGGAGGAGUGCUCUGACGCAUUUGAUACUUUUGUUUGGUAUGAGUUUGAUCUUUGAGAUUUCAUCCCCUCUCUUGGAUCGAACCAAUGGGCUUGGGCCCCAUGCUUCACCAUAUACACCUCCCAGACACACCAUACCUCCAUCUCCACUUAGUUUUGGCUUGUGUCUUGGCUUGGGCUUCAGGCCAAGCAAUUCACUUUUCUUCCUGCCUCAAUGAUUUGGUUGUAACAUUGGGCCUUAGUGUGGGCAUGCACCCACAACUAUUAGGCAGACCCCUAAUCUGUUCUUUGUACCCCCAUUCUUCAUUAAUCAUUAUUAAGUUAACUUAUUUUAAUUAAUCUACUUUAAUUAUUUUCUUGAUUAGCUUCAAUUAAAUUCUGAUUUUGUUUUUGUUAAAUUUUUGUGUACAUAUAAACAUUCAUUUAUUUUGAUAAUAUUUGUUAGUUUGUAUAUUAAUUUUAAUCGAAUAAUUGGAUUUAAUUUUUUAAUUGUAAUUAAUCGGUUAAUCAUUGGAAAUUUUAGGUUUAAGUUAAUUAUACUUAUCCUACUAUUUUUUCAACAUAUAUUCAUGAAUCGUUUUUAAUUAAUUGGUUUUAAUUAAUUAUAAAUAAUCCUGAUUCAAAAUUCCAUUUAAUUAAUUUGUUCAUAAUGACUAUUUUACCCCUAGGGUCUAGGAGCUCCUGAUUUUUGCAUGCUCCCUUAACUUAGGGUUUGUAUAAAGGCAACUGGUUCAAUUACUUGAUCCUUCAUUAGGUUGUGUACAUGGUUCAACUAUUUCCAUUCCCAUUGAUUAAUGUUGAUCAACCAAAUACUUUGCAUUGUGCUUAAAUCCCCAAUCAUAUUCAAGUGAUCAAAAGACCCUUGAUCACUUGAUAAGGAAAGUCCCAUGUGUUCAAGCUGUAAUGGAUCUCAGGAGCUCAAGACUUCAAUAUUCAAUUCAAGAUCAAGACUUCAAAGUCAAUUUAAUUCAAGCAUACCAGAUAAAGUGGACUACUUUUCAAGCACAAUAAAGGUAUCAACAUUUGUCAAUCCUGAUUCGAGUUGUGUGCCAUGAGCCUUAAGAAAUAGAGAAGGAGUGAGAGUGGAGAAUUCCUUAACUCAUUCUGAAUAUCUUUAGGUACAGGACGAAUGACCUAGUUGCUAAUUCUAUUCACAUAUAUUCAUAGACUUUAGCACAAUUCGAAUCAAAUGAUUGUCAAGUCUCCUUCCACAACAAUCAGAAUCUUCUAUCACCAACUUGUCAAUCAUGAUUCAAGUUGUAUGCCAUGAGCCUUUAGUAACAAAGAAUGAUGAGAGUGGAGCAUUCAUAUCCUUGUCUAGGAUAUCCUUGGGUACAAGACGAAUCAACCAGUUGCUCAAGGUAUUCGCCUUUGUUCAUAGACUUUAAUGCAAUUUUAAUCAAUUAAUUAACAUGUCUUCUUCAAGCAAUCUAAUCAUACCCUCUCUUUGGGUCACAUUCUCUUUGAUAUCAGGAACUUGUGCUUGUACACCCUCCUUCAAUCAAAUCUUUCUUUGCCCCGUGAGGUUAUAGACCUUGGUAAUCUUUAUUUAACCCAUGAGGUUAUAGACCUUGGCAAAUUAUUUUCGUGCCUGUGGAGUUAUAGACUUUGGCACUUCCUCUGUUGCCUAUAAGGUUAUAGGCCCAUACCACCAUUUGGAUUAGCCUUGCAUGGUGAUAGAAUCUUGGCAUUUAAGCCCCUGCCUUAUAGGACUGUGGACCUUAGCAAUUCAGUUUUUUUCCUUUAAGGUGAUAGACAUUCACAUCCUUUUCUUGCAUAUAAGGUAAUACACCUUAGCAUUCCAUUUGCCUUGUAAGAUUAUGGACCCAGGUAAUUCAGUCUCAUGCCUAACAAGUUAUAGACCUUGGCAGUAUUCUUUGCCUAUAAGGUAAAAGACCUUGGCAAUCUUUCUUUGCCCCAUGAGGUUGUAGAUUUUGGAAAAUUAUUUUCUAUGCCUAUGGAGUUAUAAACUUUAGCACUUAGUUAUAGAAAUUGACAAAUCCCUUUGGUCAUCCUUGUAGAGUUAUAGACUCUUGGCAAUAUCCUUACCUAUUAGGUUAUGGACCUUGCCAGUGCCUUCCUUUUCCUUUAGAGUCAUAGACUCUAGCAUCCGUUCUCUUUUCCUUUAAAGUUGUAGACCUUGGCAGUUCAGUUCUUUGCCUUUAGAGUUAUAGACUCUGGUUGUGUUUAUUUCCCUAUAAGGUUAUAAACAUUGGCAGACCCUUUCUUUCUUGUAGAGUUGUAUACUUUGGCCAUCUUUCAUCUUUCCAUGUAAGGUUAUAGACCCUGGAAUUCCUUUUCUACCUUAUACAACUGUACACCUUGGCAAUCUCUUUCUUUCUUUGUUCCUUCUUGGUUAGCCGUGUUGGUUCUAAGUGUUGCCAGCAAUUUUGGUAAAACAAAGAGUGUUCACAAGAUGUUACAUGUGAUGUCUUAACAUAAGAUAUCUAUGUACCUGCUGGAGUUUUAAAAUAUAAUUAUGCAAGGAUUGUUUUAGGAUGUCAUACACGACGUCAUGACAUCUGAUAUUAUGUACCUGCUGGAUAAUUAAAAUGGAAUUAUGCAGGAUUGUUCCAGGAUGUCAGACCCGAUGUCAUGACAUCCUGUACACAGAACAUUCAGGGUGAAUGUUAUGUGCUAUGUGAUUGCGCAUUUAAUGGAAAUCUAUGUAUGAUUGAAGAUAUGAUUUGCAGGCGCAUUCAAUCAUUAAUUACAACCUGAUUUACUUAUUUUCCAAGGAGAUCUAACCAGCUGACAUGAGAAGAUUUAAUUGGAAAAUAGUUUUAGGGUUUUCAAGAUGUCCAAGCCCAGCUGAAUGCUUCUAUAAAUAGGACAUGGAAAACCUGAUUUGAUACACAACCAAUACUGAGCGAAAUAUUAAGAGAGAAUAAGGGUUUGUAUCUUGUUUGGUCGUGUGACUUGUAAGCCAUUCAAUUCAUCCAUAGAUGAUUGAAUUGGUCUGAUUUGUGAGUUGUAAUUUGUCACUCUAAGCUUGUAAGCAAGAGUGCGUGUCUACUUGAUCGAAGCUGUUAAGCAAGAUCAAGUGUGUGUCUACUUGAUUGAAGUUGUUAAGCAAGAUCAAGUGUGUGUCUACUUGAUUGAAACUGCUAAGUAAGAUCAAGUGUGUGUUAUUGAAGAGUGUCUUCUUUUCAU